UACGUAGGUGGCAAGCGUUGUCCGGAAUUAUUGGACGUAAAGCGCGCGCAGGCGGUCCUUUAAGUCUGAUGUGAAAGCCCACGGCUCAACCGUGGAGGGUCAUUGGAAACUGGGGGACUUGAGUGCAGGAGAGAAAAGUGGAAUUCCACGUGUAGCGGUGAAAUGCGUAGAGAUGUGGAGGAACACCAGUGGCGAAGGCGACUUUUUGGCCUGUAACUGACGCUGAGGCGCGAAAGCGUGGGGAGCAAACAGG
rnacentral:rRNA from 1 species